rnacentral:rRNA from 1 species
GACGAAGGGGGCUAGCGUUGUUCGGAAUUACUGGGCGUAAAGCGCGUGUAGGCGGUUGUUCAAGUCGGGUGUGAAAGCCUUGAGCUCAACUCAAGAAAUGCACUCGGUACUGGAUGACUAGAGGACCGGAGAGGAUAGUGGAAUUCCCAGUGUAGUGGUGAAAUACGUAGAGAUUGGGAAGAACACCAGUGGCGAAGGCGGCUAUCUGGACGGUUUCUGACGCUAAGACGCGAAAGCGUGGGGAGCAAACGGG